AAUGUAUAUAUGGUAUGUAAGAGGCCAUGCUGUUAAAUGUUGCAUAAACUAACACAGAUUCUGUAGUCAAAAAUAUUUAACUUGUUAUUGUAAAAUGUGAUUUGUCAUUGAGAGAUUAUUUUUCUGUAUGUAUAUGAGAGUAUUUUAGGAAUCUAAUUUAAGUGCAUAAAACUAUAGAAAAAAAUUUAAAACCUAUUCCAAGAGUAGAAAAUGCUUAAUGAGAUUACUUGGGUUCAACUCAACUAAAUUUCUUAUAUUAAAAAAAAAUUCCAAGUUGUAUAUGUUAGAAAUCAAAUGAGUCAUUUUUUUUCCUGCAGGAAAUAUGAUAAAUUUCAGUGUAAUGGAUGGUGGCGUGAUCAAAUGAAAAGUAUCCUGUAGCUAUGACCUCGCAUGGGACCUUGGUGUUGCAUUAAAAAUGGAUUUUUGCAGAUCACAUAUCUGAGAGGGUACUUGUGUCAGGAAGGAUGAGAGGAUAGGGAGCCUGUUUUUCAUCAGAUCCAUGUGCCACGCAGGCUUCCUUGGGUUCUAGUGGAUUUGUUAGGGAUCUGGGGCUGACGCAGCUAUCCCACUAGAGAGGCCACUCUCUGACUUCCAGGUCGCCCUUUCUACUUCUGUAUCUGGAUUGAUUCAGUUUAUCCCUAAUUAGCGUUUGCGUUUUCCAUGAAAUUUCCUGAUGCAUCCUCACUGUCUUCAACUGUUGCAUAGCCAGGUGGGUGGAUGGAUGGUUUAGGGUUUCUGAGUUAAGCCGUUUUGGGGCAGGCUUCUGGAUGCCCAUGUUUCCAUGGAGACCCCAGGGGGAAGAUGCCUUCCUCCCGUCUGCAUUCCCAGAAAAGGAUCAGAAGUCCAGGCUGCUUCUGGGGCACAGACUUUCUGUACUUGGCCACCAGAAGUGCCCCUUAGGCCACCUAAGGAGGAUUCUGUGAAACUCAAUGUCUAAACCCCUGAGAAAGGCAUUCAGAAAUGAUUUCAGGAGGGGGCAACCCCAGGAGUCCAGCCUCCCCUGGCAGCCUGGAAAUACUGCAGUAACAAAAAGAGCUGGUUUCUGGUGAUCUGAAUGCAUUGUGUUUGGGGGUGACACCGCUGGUGGAAGGUUGAGGGCCUGUGGUCUGAAAAGACAUCUGAAGAAUGUGUUAGGUUUUCAACAUUUCUUUGAACAGGCUGCGUGCAUCUUAAUGCUGUCAACCAGCAACUGGAGCCCCUUUUUUGAGAGGCCCGAACCAGUAAAGCUGCUGACUUCAGGAGUAUGGGAAGCUGUGAUUUCUGGAAGCUUCCUGGAAUCUAUUUAGGUGCAUGAAUAAUCUGCAAAUCACUUAGAGGCACUGUCCAUGUGGUCCAUAACUGGCUUUAUUCCCAAAGAUGGAGCUGUUCAGAGAUUUCUUUGUUCAGGCGCAGCCUUGGAAGGCCACCUAAGGCCUGCCAGCAGAGGAGAUGAGCUCUGGUCUACCAACCCCAAACAGGCCCUGACUCUCCUUCCUUAGAACGAUGCCCUCUGGCUGGGGUGGCAAGAGGGCUGUGAGUGGAAACAAGUCAGCCAGUCAACUGUCCCUUGGGCCUUGGUUGUUUCAAAAAAGUCUGGGGACAAGAAAAGCUAGAACAUGGGGCCCUCCCUUCCCAGGAGUGCUAGCGAACCCUCCCAGAUAGCCUUUGCCUGUUUGGAAAAGAAUGUAAUCCAUCAGAACGUGAGCUCCUUGUGCUUCCAGUGACAAGCGGGCCACAGUGCUGGUGGCAUGUUGCUUCCCUCACAGCCCUGCCCAGGGGUAGGACCAGGCCCGCCCCUUGAUGGAUGUGCUGUUGAUUGUAAUAUACUUCUGUUGCCAAAUAAUGGUACUGUUUAAUUUUCCAUAAAAGAGAGACUAUAUUGUCUGAUAUGUAAUGUUAAUGGAAUUCUAAGAAUUACUAGACACUAUUAUAAAUUGUAGACUUACGUAUUUGUCUAAAGGUUUGAUGAAGCAGGGCCAAAACAUUGUUUCUUCUUUUUUGUUUGAAAGAAGCUGAGGUUUGUUUUUGCUGUUUGAGUGUUCCUUUGGCAACUUAUUAUGUGUGAAAUGUUAAAUUUUACCGAUUAAGAUGAUGGUAACUGAGACCUUUCUUUAAACCAGUAGCAACAUCAGUACAAAUUGCUCUUCCUGUGUAUCUUGAACCUAAAAAGAACAAUCUCUUCAAAAACAAAAACAAAAACAAAAAACAACUCUUUGGUCAUUUUGACCUGUGUGGUUUAAAUUCAAAUAGUUCAUGAAUAAAAGGAGAAAAGCC
rnacentral:lncRNA from 1 species